UGGGGAAUUUUGGACAAUGGGCGAAAGCCUGAUCCAGCAAUGCCGCGUGUGUGAAGAAGGCCUUCGGGUUGUAAAGCACUUUUGUCCGGAAAGAAAUCCUUGGCUCUAAUACAGUCGGGGGAUGACGGUACCGGAAGAAUAAGCACCGGCUAACUACGUGCCAGCAGCCGCGGUAAUACGUAGGGUGCAAGCGUUAAUCGGAAUUACUGGGCGUAAAGCGUGCGCAGGCGGUUUGCUAAGACCGAUGUGAAAUCCCCGGGCUCAACCUGGGAACUGCAUUGGUGACUGGCAGGCUAGAGUAUGGCAGAGGGGGGUAGAAUUCCACGUGUAGCAGUGAAAUGCGUAGAGAUGUGGAGGAAUACCGAUGGCGAAGGCAGCCCCCUGGGCCAAUACUGACGCUCAUGCACGAAAGCGUGGGGAGCAAACAGGAUUAGAUACCCUGGUAGUCCACGCCCUAAACGAUGUCAACUAGUUGUUGGGGAUUCAUUUCCUUAGUAACGUAGCUAACGCGCGAAGUUGACCGCCUGGGGAGUACGGUCGCAAGAUU
rnacentral:rRNA from 1 species